rnacentral:rRNA from 1 species
UACGUAGGGUGCAAGCGUUGUCCGGAAUUAUUGGGCGUAAAGAGCUCGUAGGCGGUUUGUCGCGUCUGCUGUGAAAACCCGAGGCUCAACCUCGGGCCUGCAGUGGGUACGGGCAGACUAGAGUGCGGUAGGGGAGAUUGGAAUUCCUGGUGUAGCGGUGGAAUGCGCAGAUAUCAGGAGGAACACCGAUGGCGAAGGCAGAUCUCUGGGCCGUAACUGACGCUGAGGAGACGAAAGCAUGGGGAGCGAACAGG